AACUAACAAGGAUUCCCCUAGUAGCGGCGAGCGAAGCGGGAAGAGCUCAAAUUUAUAAUCUGGCACCUUCGGUGUCCGAGUUGUAAUCUCUAGAAAUGUUUUCCGCGUUGGACCGCACACAAGUCUGUUGGAAUACAGCGGCAUAGUGGUGAGACCCCCGUAUAUGGUGCGGACGCCCAGCGCUUUGUGAUACAUUUUCGAAGAGUCGAGUUGUUUGGGAAUGCAGCUCAAAUUGGGUGGUAAAUUCCAUCUAAAGCUAAAUAUUGGCGAGAGACCGAUAGCGAACAAGUACCGUGAGGGAAAGAUGAAAAGCACUUUGGAAAGAGAGUUAACAGUACGUGAAAUUGUUGGAAGGGAAACGCUUGAAGUCAGACUUGCUUGCCGAGCAAUCGGUUUGCAGGCCAGCAUCAGUUUUCCGGGAUGGAUAAUGGUAGAGAGAAGGUAGCAGUUUCGGCUGUGUUAUAGCUCUCUGCUGGAUACAUCUUGGGGGACUGAGGAACGCAGUGUGCCUUUGGCGGGGGUUUCGACCUCUUCACACUUAGGAUGCUGGUGGAAUGGCUUUAAACGACCCGUC
rnacentral:rRNA from 1 species